GGUGAGGUGGCCGAGCGGUCUAAGGCGCCAGACUAAGGUUGCGCGUUCUACUGGGCCAACUCAGUUUCUGAGUUUGCAAAUCUGGUCCGAAAGGGCGUGGGUUCGAAUCCCACCCUCAUCA